UCGGGAAUUUUGGGCAAUGGGCGAAAGCCUGACCCAGCAACGCCGCGUGAAGGAUGAAGUAUUUCGGUAUGUAAACUUCGUAAGAAUAGGAAGAAUAAAUGACGGUACUAUUUGUAAGGUCCGGCUAACUACGUGCCAGCAGCCGCGGUAAUACGUAGGGACCAAGCGUUGUUCGGAUUUACUGGGCGUAAAGGGCGCGUAGGCGGUGUGUCAAGUCAGUUGUGAAAUCUCCGAGCUUAACUCGGAACGGUCAACUGAUACUGUCACACUAGAGUACAGAAGGGGCAAUCGGAAUUCUUGGUGUAGCGGUGAAAUGCGUAGAUAUCAAGAGGAACACCUGAGGCGAAGGCGGGUUGCUGGGCUGAUACUGACGCUGAGGC
rnacentral:rRNA from 1 species